AGCAGUAGCCACGGUAAAACCGAGGGUGCAAGCGUUAAUCGGAAUUACUGGGCGUAAAGCGCGCGUAGGUGGUUUGUUAAGUUGGAUGUGAAAUCCCCGGGCUCAACCUGGGAACUGCAUUCAAAACUGACUGACUAGAGUAUGGUAGAGGGUGGUGGAAUUUCCUGUGUAGCGGUGAAAUGCGUAGAUAUAGGAAGGAACACCAGUGGCGAAGGCGACCACCUGGACUAAUACUGACACUGAGGUGCGAAAGCGUGGGGAGCAAACAGGAUUAGAUACCCCUGUAGUCCCUGUCUCUUAUAC
rnacentral:rRNA from 1 species